GCCUGCUUUUCCAGUGAUUAAACUGCUGCGGGGAUGGACCGGUUCAGACCCAGGUUGAACCAAGUUAAUGCGGUGGGGUUUGGAGCAGGAUCCCUGACAAGUGGGGUCCAUUGUUAGUUUCUCCAUCAAAACGGGCUUAACCAAACAAUCAGUGCAUGAGGUGACCAAUAUACCCAAAAGUGGUGGCAAUUUGUAAAAAAUUAAAAAAAAUGUGGUUUUCCUAGAAGGUCGUCUCAAAUGUGGUGGUUCUAUGUAAUUUUUUCUUAUAAAAAAAUUCAAAAAUUUAUUCCUAUGUUCCUAAUGGACAGAGGACACAAAAAAUACAGUUUUGAG
rnacentral:lncRNA from 1 species